GUGGGGAAUAUUGGACAAUGGGGGGAACCCUGAUCCAGCCAUGCCGCGUGUGUGAAGAAGGCCUUUUGGUUGUAAAGCACUUUAAGCGAGGAGGAGGCUACCGAGAUUAAUACUCUUGGAUAGUGGACGUUACUCGCAGAAUAAGCACCGGCUAACUCUGUGCCAGCAGCCGCGGUAAUACAGAGGGUGCAAGCGUUAAUCGGAUUUACUGGGCGUAAAGCGCGAGUAGGUGGCCAAUUAAGUCAAAUGUGAAAUCCCCGAGCUUAACUUGGGAAUUGCAUUCGAUACUGGUUGGCUAGAGUAUGGGAGAGGAUGGUAGAAUUCCAGGUGUAGCGAUGAAAUGCGUAGAGAUCUGGAGGAAUACCGAUGGCGAAGGCAGCCAUCUGGCCUAAUACUGACACUGAGGUGCGAAAGCAUGGGGAGCAAACAGGAUUAGAUACCCUGGUAGUCC
rnacentral:rRNA from 1 species